GGCGCCUCUUACUUUUUAUCAAGACUUCCAGGAUUCUUCGGGGAAUAUGCUGGUCUUACUGGUUCUAGGUUGGAUGGAGCUGAAAUGCUUGCUUGUGGUCUUGCAACCCACUUUGUAUCAUCGGAUAAAUUGCCACUUUUAGAACAAGCACUAGUUCAAGUCAAUUCGAGUGAUCCAGAUGCUAUAUCUGCUAUCAUAAGUUGCUUCUCCCACACACCAAACUUGAAAGAAGAAAGUCCUUAUCACAAGAUGAA
rnacentral:misc_RNA from 1 species